GACGAACGCUGGCGGCGCGCUUAACACAUGCAAGUCGAACGGAAAGGCCUGCUUUCCCUUGUGGAUUGCGGGUACUCGAGUGGCGAACGGGUGAGUAACACGUGAGUGAUCUGCCCCCAACUUGGGUAUAAGCCUGGGAAACUGGGUCUAAUUCCCGAUAGGACUGCAGGGUGGUGCCUGUGGUGGAAAACGAUUUUCUAGUGGUUGGGGAUGAGCUCGCGGCCUAUCAGCUUGUUGGUGGGGUAAUGGCCUACCAAGGCGGCGACGGGUAGCCGGCCUGAGAGGGUGGACGGCCACAUUGGGACUGAGAUACGGCCCAGACUCCUACGGGAGGCAGCAGUGGGGAAUAUUGCACAAUGGGCGGAAGCCUGAUGCAGCGACGCCGCGUGGGGGAUGACGGCCUUCGGGUUGUAAACUCCUUCCGACCGCGAGGAAGCCACCUGGUUGGAAGGGUGGUGACUGUAGUGGUAGAAGAAGCACCGGCUAACUACGUG
rnacentral:rRNA from 1 species